CUCUUUAAUAGUGAGUCAGGCACACCUGGCUUUUGCCAGGUGAAAGACCCCCGGAGCAGGGAGACCCUCACUCCAGUCUUGGGAUGAUGCGACCCCCCAAGAACUCACAUGAGACC
rnacentral:pre_miRNA from 14 species